rnacentral:misc_RNA from 1 species
GUCCGUAGCAAUUCAUACACCAUGGCAGUCUGCAAGACAUUUGGCAAGUUCAGCCUCUGUGCAAGUUGGGUAGCAAUGGUAGAUUUUCCAACACAAGCAGUACCACAAACAAGAAUUACCAAAGGCACUCGCAUAUGGUGAAAUCUCGUAAUCAUUUUAUAACGGUUUAUAUACUCUUCUCCAAAACCUCUUCGCUCCAUAAGCUUGAACAAGUUUGCCUCCAAAUCUGACUGUGAGACAUCGAGUAGGCUGUUGUCAACAAGAAGCUUUUUAAGCUCAAGUGCAAUUUUAAUAGCCACGUGAUUUGGAAUCUUAGUGACGGUGAGCAUCCUGCUGAGCAAAAAUCUAGAGAGAACAUAGUAGUGAUCGGCAUUGUCACCCAGCCAUACUUUCACCUUAACGAAAUCGUAUUUGGAAGAAGCGUUUCGGGUAGAAAAACGACGAGCUGAAUGAUUAGCUGCGGCAGCAUCUUCUUGUGCAUAAUCUUCUUCUUCAUUGGUACUAGGGCUUUCUAUAACAACCGCCUUAUCCUUCUUCAUAUUUCACUGAUAAAAUACCUCGGGUACUGUGCCCGCCGGGAAGACGAUGCCGGUAAAUAUCGACGGAGAAUGUAGAUAAUCAACUUUACGAACAACUUGUGCUUCUGCUUUGCACACAAAACUUU